GACGAACGCUGGCGGCGUGCUUAACACAUGCAAGUCGAACGGAAAGGCCCUGCUUGCAGGGUACUCGAGUGGCGAACGGGUGAGUAACACGUGGGUGAUCUGCCCUGCACUUCGGGAUAAGCCUGGGAAACUGGGUCUAAUACCGGAUAGGAGCCAUUUUUAGUGUGAUGGUUGGAAAGUUUUUUUCGGUGUAGGAUGAGCUCGCGGCCUAUCAGCUUGUUGGUGGGGUAAUGGCCUACCAAGGCGGCGACGGGUAGCCGGCCUGAGAGGGUGGACGGCCACAUUGGGAAUGAGAUACGGCCCAGACUCCGACGGGAGGCAGCAGUGGGGAAUAUUGCACAAUGGGCGCAAGCCUGAUGCAGCGACGCCGCGUGGGGGAUGACGGCCUUCGGGUUGUAAACUCCUUUCGCUAGGGACGAAGCUUUUUGUGACGGUACCUAGAUAAGAAGCACCGGCUAACUACGUG
rnacentral:rRNA from 1 species